rnacentral:rRNA from 1 species
CCGAAAGAGGAGGGGAGUCGACCCUUGUCUGUCCAGCGUGGCGUGGCAAAAACAAACCGCCCGUAGCCAAACCGGGUCGCCGCCGGCCGGCUCACUUCUCUUAGUCCGCCGGCGGCGAUGGCUGGCUAUUCUGCGGUGGCGAGCAGCUCCUCUUCGUCAAACGCGCCCCCCUCGCUCGGCACGCGCGUGGAUGAUGCUACUCCGCCGCUGUUCAGGACAAGUUACUGCGGGCAAGGAUGGAAGCUCGGCAAUGGCGAAUUGGCGAUUUGCUGAAUCUGCCGUAUUUGCUUGCUACUUUUAUAUAGAUCUAUAGCCAUGCUACUACCAUCAGCUGCCACAUAUCAUUCAGUCUUGUUUUGGAAUUUCUUACUUGCAUGACUACCAAAUUUCACAACCAUCUCCCUUUGUUUUUCUUUUGACAGAAACAUGCAGGCAUCAGUUAUUCAGUUAGAGAUUCAACAAAGUUAAUCUGAAUAUAUGUGGAAUAUCAGCAUCUCUGCGGUCCAGUCCAUUUCCACGGGUGCUCCAAGUUGUUUCGCGGUUUAAUCGGAAUAUUGUUCUUCUUGGUCACCACUCACCGUGUUUUACAGUGUAGCUAGAUAGAUGUCACUGAACCAGAAAAACAAAGCAAUGCAAACUACAACGUCACACGCCGCUUCCAGGCCAUAGCAAUUCACACCUCACCCUUGGGGUCCUUACAAUUUAAGUGUAGCGGUUCUUUUUUCACAACCAUCGUCAUGCUUUGCUGAAACUGCAUUCCAUUUCCUUGUAUUUUUCAUUUAACAGAUCAUGGAUAUAUCACUUUUCAGUUAGAGAUUCAAGAAAUUUAAUCUGAAUAUGUGUGGAAUAUCAGUAUCCUUGCGGAUCUAGUCCAUUCCCACGAGUGCUCGAAGCUGUUCCGCAACGUUGCUGAGGUGGAGGCCUAGCACGAGUUCAACCCCUCCUUCAAGCCCAAACCAGGAGGUCACCGCAGGCCUCUUAAUAAGCAGUACAUCUUAACUGUAAGCCUCUGUCCGAUCCGAUUUUUCUUGAACUUGCAUAUAGUUAUUUCUUACUUAUGGUGAUAUUUGAUGUUGU